rnacentral:rRNA from 1 species
AGGACUAACGCUGGCGGCGUGCCUAACACAUGCAAGUCGAACGAAGUAGCAAUACUUAGUGGCAGACGGGUGAGUAACACGUAGUCAACCUGCCCUUCAAUGGGGGAUAACUAGCCGAAAGGUUAGCUAAUACCGCAUACGAUCUCUGAGUGGCAUCACUCGGCGAUGAAAGGAGUAAUCCGUUGAAGGAGGGGACUGCGUCCCAUUAGUUAGUUGGUGGGGUAAUGGCCUACCAAGACUCCGAUGGGUAGCUGGCUUGAGAGAGCGACCAGCCACACUGGAACUGAGACACGGUCCAGACUCCUACGGGAGGCAGCAGUGAGGAAUUUUCCGCAAUGGGGGAAACCCUGACGGAGCGACGCCGCGUGUGGGAAGAAGGCCUUCGGGUCGUAAACCACUGUCGAGGGGGACGAUAUUGACGGUACCCCGUGGAGGAAGCCCCGGCUAACGUACGUGCCAGCAGCCGC